AUGCUUCCUUUGGCAGCACAUAUACUAAAAUUGAAAUGAUACAGAGAUUAUCAUGGCUCCUGCGCAAGGAUGACAAAUUUGUGACGCUUUCCAUAUUAAA
rnacentral:snRNA from 1 species